rnacentral:tRNA from 1 species
GGAGAGUUGCCAGAGGGGUUAAAUGGAACAGUUUGCUAAACUGUAAGUAUUUAAUUAAUACUACAUGGGUUCAAAUCCCAUACUCUCCG